CAAGCGGUGGAGCAUGUGGUUAAUUCGAUGAUACGCGAGGAACCUUACCAGGGCUUGACAUACGCUGGAAUGCGCGCGAAAGCGUGCAGCCUUUCGGGGCCGGCGUACAGGUGCUGCAUGGCUGUCGUCAGCUCGUGCUGUGAAGUGUUGGGUUAAGUCCCGCAACGAGCGCAACCCCUGCUAUCUGUUGCCAGCAAGUGAUGUUGGGGACUCAGAUGGGACUGCCGGUGUUAAACCGGAGGAAGGUGGGGAUGACGUCAAGUCCUCAUGGCCUUUAUGACCAGGGCUACACACGUACUACAAUGGCCGAUACAAAGGGCAGCGACAUUGCGAAAUGAAGCCAAUCCCAUAAAUUCGGUCUCAGUCCGGAUUGGAGUCUGCAACUCGACUCCAUGAAGUUGGAAUCGCUAGUAAUCGUGGAUCAGCAUGCCACGGUGAAUACGUUCCCGGGCCUU
rnacentral:rRNA from 1 species